AAAUUGAAGAGUUUGAUCAUGGCUCAGAUUGAACGCUGGCGGCAGGCCUAACACAUGCAAGUCGAACGGUAACAGGAAGCAGCUUGCUGUUUCGCUGACGAGUGGCGGACGGGUGAGUAAUGUCUGGGAAACUGCCUGAUGGAGGGGGAUAACUACUGGAAACGGUAGCUAAUACCGCAUAACGUCGCAAGACCAAAGAGGGGGACCCUCGGGCCUCUUGCCAUCGGAUGUGCCCAGAUGGGAUUAGCUUGUUGGUGGGGUAACGGCUCACC
rnacentral:rRNA from 2 species